AAGCGAAGGUCCCAGCAGAGGGGUAGAGAUUCUGAUACGAGACCUGUCUAACACUUUGCCUAUGUUAGAUUGGCUGAAUCGUAGGAUGCACAGAUUGUUCUUUGUUUUGGUGCUUCUGGAAUCCUCAGCUACAUUCCA